AAAAAAGUGGAUUUUUUAGAACAACACAUAACAGUUCAUGUGAUUUAUCAUACAAAUUUAUUAAACUGUACAUCAGUAAACAACCUAUUUUGGAGGUAGGAUAUCAUGAAAGAGUGUUGUACUGGUGGGAAUUUUCCAAAAGUGGAUUGGCAACACUGG